AGUCACGAGUUUGAUCCUGGCUCAGAUUGAACGCUGACGGCAUGCCUAACACAUGCAAGUCGAACGAGACCUUCGGGUCUAGUGGCGCACGGGUGCGUAACGCGUGGGAAUUUGCCUCGGGGUACGGAAUAACUCAGGGAAACUUGAGCUAAUACCGUAUGAUGUCUUCGGACCAAAGAUUUAUCGCCCUGAGAUAAGCCCGCGUAGGAUUAGCUAGUUGGUGAGGUAAGAGCUCACCAAGGCGACGAUCCUUAGCUGGUCUGAGAGGAUGAUCAGCCACACUGGGACUGAGACACGGCCCAGACUCCUACGGGAGGCAGCAGUGGGGAAUAUUGGACAAUGGGCGAAAGCCUGAUCCAGCAAUGCCGCGUGAGUGAUGAAGGCCUUCGGGUUGUAAAGCUCUUUUGCCCGGGACGAUAAUGACGGUACCGGGAGAAUAAGCCCCGGCUAACUCCGUG
rnacentral:rRNA from 1 species